rnacentral:rRNA from 1 species
UACGUAGGGUGCGAGCGUUGUCCGGAAUUAUUGGGCGUAAAGAGCUUGUAGGCGGUUUGUCGCGUCUGCUGUGAAAAUCCGGGGCUCAACCCCGGACUUGCAGUGGGUACGGGCAGACUAGAGUGUGGUAGGGGAGACUGGAAUUCCUGGUGUAGCGGUGGAAUGCGCAGGUAUCAGGAGGAACACCGAUGGCGAAGGCAGGUCUCUGGGCCACUACUGACGCUGAGGAGCGAAAGCAUGGGGAGCGAACAGG